UAUUAUGAGAGUUUGAUCCUGGCUCAGGACGAACGCUGGCGGCGUGCCUAAUACAUGCAAGUCGAACGCUUCUUUCCUCCCGAGUGCUUGCACUCAAUUGGAAAGAGGAGUGGCGGACGGGUGAGUAACACGUGGGUAACCUACCCAUCAGAGGGGGAUAACACUUGGAAACAGGUGCUAAUACCGCAUAACAGUUUAUGCCGCAUGGCAUAAGAGUGAAAGGCGCUUUCGGGUGUCGCUGAUGGAUGGAACCGCGGUGCAUUAGCUAGUUGGUGAGGUAACGGCUCACCAAGGCCACGAUGCAUAGCCGACCUGAGAGGGUGAUCGGCCACACUGGGACUGAGACACGGCCCAGACUCCUACGGGAGGCAGCAGUAGGGAAUCUUCGGCAAUGGACGAAAGUCUGACCGAGCAACGCCGCGUGAGUGAAGAAGGUUUUCGGAUCGUAAAACUCUGUUGUUAGAGAAGAACAAGGACGUUAGUAACUGAACGUCCCCUGACGGUAUCUAACCAGAAAGCCACGGCUAACUACGUGCCAGCAGCCGCGGUAAUACGUAGGUGGCAAGCGUUGUCCGGAUUUAUUGGGCGUAAAGCGAGCGCAGGCGGUUUCUUAAGUCUGAUGUGAAAGCCCCCGGCUCAACCGGGGAGGGUCAUUGGAAACUGGGAGACUUGAGUGCAGAAGAGGAGAGUGGAAUUCCAUGUGUAGCGGUGAAAUGCGUAGAUAUAUGGAGGAACACCAGUGGCGAAGGCGGCUCUCUGGUCUGUAACUGACGCUGAGGCUCGAAAGCGUGGGGAGCAAACAGGAUUAGAUACCCUGGUAGUCCACGCCGUAAACGAUGAGUGCUAAGUGUUGGAGGGUUUCCGCCCUUCAGUGCUGCAGCAAACGCAUUAAGCACUCCGCCUGGGGAGUACGACCGCAAGGUUGAAACUCAAAGGAAUUGACGGGGCCGCACAAGCGGUGGAGCAUGUGGUUUAAUUCGAAGCAACGCGAAGAACCUUACCAGGUCUUGACAUCCUUUGACCACUCUAGAGAUAGAGCUUUCCCUUUGGGGACAAAGUGACAGGUGGUGCAUGGUUGUCGUCAGCUCGUGUCGUGAGAUGUUGGGUUAAGUCCCGCAACGAGCGCAACCCUUAUUGUUAGUUGCCAUCAUUUAGUUGGGCACUCUAGCGAGACUGCCGGUGACAAACCGGAGGAAGGUGGGGAUGACGUCAAAUCAUCAUGCCCCUUAUGACCUGGGCUACACACGUGCUACAAUGGGAAGUACAACGAGUCGCUAGACCGCGAGGUCAUGCAAAUCUCUUAAAGCUUCUCUCAGUUCGGAUUGCAGGCUGCAACUCGCCUGCAUGAAGCCGGAAUCGCUAGUAAUCGCGGAUCAGCACGCCGCGGUGAAUACGUUCCCGGGCCUUGUACACACCGCCCGUCACACCACGAGAGUUUGUAACACCCGAAGUCGGUGAGGUAACCUUUUUGGAGCCAGCCGCCUAAGGUGGGAUAGAUGAUUGGGGUGAAGUCGUAACAAGGUAGCCGUAUCGGAAGGUGCGGCUGGAUCACCUCCUUU
rnacentral:rRNA from 1 species